AGAGCGAACGCUGGCGGCAGGCCUAACACAUGCAAGUCGAGCGCCCGUAGCAAUACGGGAGCGGCAGACGGGAUAGUAACACGUGGGAACGCGCCCUUCGGUUCGGAAUAACUCAGGGAAACUUGAGCUAAUACCGAAUACGCCCUUACGGGGAAAGAUUUAUUGCCGAAGGAACGGCCCGCGUCCGAUUAGCUAGUUGGUGAGGUAAUGGCUCACCAAGGCUACGAUCGGUAGCUGGUCUGAGAGGAUGACCAGCAUCACUGGGACUGAGACACGGCCCAGACUCCUACGGGAGGCAGCAGUGGGGAAUAUUGGACAAUGGGCGCAAGCCUGAUCCAGCCAUGCCGCGUGGAUGAUGAAGGCCUUAGGGUUGUAAAGUCCGUUUUAACGGGGAAGAUAAUGACGGUACCCGUAGAAUAAGCCCCGGCUAACGUUCGUGCCAGCAGCCGC
rnacentral:rRNA from 1 species